rfam:Geobacillus caldoxylosilyticus NBRC 107762 DNA, contig: GCA01S046.
CCUAGUGGCUAUAGCGGAGAGGAAACACCCGUUCCCAUCCCGAACACGGAAGUUAAGCUCUCCAGCGCUGAUGGUAGUUGGGGCCAGCGCCCCUGCGAGAGUAGGUCGUCGCUAGGC